CGAUGUCCGAAUGGGGAAACCCAGUGUGUUCCGACACACUAUCGUUAACUGAAUACAUAGGUUAACGAGGCGAACCGGGGGAACUGAAACAUCUAAGUACCCCGAGGAAAAGAAAUCAACCGAGAUUCCCCCAGUAGCGGCGAGCGAACGGGGAGCAGCCCGGAGUCUGAAUCAGCUUGUGUGUUAGUGGAACGGUCUGGAAAGUCCGACGGUACAGGGUGAUAGUCCCGUACACGAAAAUACACUUGCUGUGAACUCGAAGAGUAGGGCGGGACACGUGGUAUCCUGUCUGAAUAUGGGGGGACCAUCCUCCAAGGCUAAAUACUCCUGACUGACCGAUAGUGAACCAGUACCGUGAGGGAAAGGCGAAAAGAACCCCGGCGAGGGGAGUGAAAAAGAACCUGAAACCGUGUACGUACAAGCAGUGGGAGCACCUUCGGGUGUGACUGCGUACCUUUUGUAUAAUGGGUCAGCGACUUAUAUUCUGUAGCAAGGUUAACCGUAUAGGGGAGCCGAAGGGAAACCGAGUCUUAACUGGGCGUUAAGUUGCAGGGUAUAGACCCGAAACCCGGUGAUCUAGCCAUGGGCAGGUUGAAGGUUGGGUAACACUAACUGGAGGACCGAACCGACUAAUGUUGAAAAAUUAGCGGAUGACCUGUGGCUGGGGGUGAAAGGCCAAUCAAACCGGGAGAUAGCUGGUUCUCCCCGAAAGCUAUUUAGGUAGCGCCUCGUGAACUCAUCUUCGGGGGUAGAGCACUGUUUCGGCUAGGGGGCCAUCCCGGCUUACCAACCCGAUGCAAACUACGAAUACCGAAGAAUGUUAUCACGGGAGACACACGGCGGGUGCUAACGUCCGUCGUGAAGAGGGAAACAACCCAGACCGCCAGCUAAGGUCCCAAAGUCAUGGUUAAGUGGGAAACGAUGUGGGAAGGCACAGACAGCCAGGAUGUUGGCUUAGAAGCAGCCAUCAUUUAAAGAAAGCGUAAUAGCUCACUGGUCGAGUCGGCCUGCGCGGAAGAUGUAACGGGGCUAAACCAUGCACCGAAGCUGCGGCAGCGACACUAUGUGUUGUUGGGUAGGGGAGCGUUCUGUAAGCCGUUGAAGGUGUGCUGUGAGGCAUGCUGGAGGUAUCAGAAGUGCGAAUGCUGACAUAAGUAACGAUAAAGCGGGUGAAAAGCCCGCUCGCCGGAAGACCAAGGGUUCCUGUCCAACGUUAAUCGGGGCAGGGUGAGUCGACCCCUAAGGCGAGGCCGAAAGGCGUAGUCGAUGGGAAACAGGUUAAUAUUCCUGUACUUGGUGUUACUGCGAAGGGGGGACGGAGAAGGCUAUGUCAGCCGGGCGACGGUUGUCCCGGUUUAAGCAUGUAGGCGGAGGUUCCAGGUAAAUCCGGUACCUUAUUAACGCUGAGGUGUGAUGACGAGGCACUACGGUGCUGAAGUGAUAAAUGCCCUGCUUCCAGGAAAAGCCUCUAAGCAUCAGGUAACACGAAAUCGUACCCCAAACCGACACAGGUGGUCAGGUAGAGAAUACCAAGGCGCUUGAGAGAACUCGGGUGAAGGAACUAGGCAAAAUGGUGCCGUAACUUCGGGAGAAGGCACGCUGAUA
rnacentral:rRNA from 1 species